rnacentral:lncRNA from 1 species
AGAAUGUUCCAGCAGCAAUGAAGCAACACCAGCUUUUGUGAGGCAAAAUACACAGAGAAUAAAGGACACAAAGCUGGUGUAGUGGAUUGAAUGGUAGCCUCCCAAGUGAUAUGUCCACCAGAACCUGUGAAUGUGAUCUUGUUUGGAAGAAGAGUCUUUGCAGAUGCAAUUAAGAUAACGAUGCUGUGAAGAGAUUACCCUGGAUUAUCAUGGGCCAUAUAUCUAAUGAGAAGUGAUUUUAUAAGAGAAGAGCAGGGAAAAGGACACACAGGAGAAAAGACCAUGUGAAAACAGAGGCAAAAACCUGCAUUAUGCAGCCCCAAGCCAAGGAAAAUCUGGAGUCACCAGAUGAGGAAAGAUUCUCUUCUAGAGACUUCAGAAAGAGUGCGACCCCCCAACACUUUGAUUUUGAACUUCUGUCCUC